UAGGGAAUCUUCGGCAAUGGACGAAAGUCUGACCGAGCAACGCCGCGUGAGUGAAGAAGGUUUUCGGAUCGUAAAACUCUGUUGUUAGAGAAGAACAAGGACGUUAGUAACUGAACGUCCCCUGACGGUAUCUAACCAGAAAGCCACGGCUAACUACGUGCCAGCAGCCGCGGUAAUACGUAGGUGGCAAGCGUUGUCCGGAUUUAUUGGGCGUAAAGCGAGCGCAGGCGGUUUCUUAAGUCUGAUGUGAAAGCCCCCGGCUCAACCGGGGAAGGUCAUUGGAAACUGGGAGACUUGAGUGCAGAAGAGGAGAGUGGAAUUCCAUGUGUAGCGGUGAAAUGCGUAGAUAUAUGGAGGAACACCAGUGGCGAAGUCGGCUCUCUGGUCUGUAACUGACGCUGAGGCUAGAAAGCGUGGGGAGCAAACAGG
rnacentral:rRNA from 1 species